ACGGAAGGCAGCAGUGGGGAAUAUUGCACAAUGGGGGAAACCCUGAUGCAGCGACGCCGCGUGAGUGAAGAAGUAUUUCGGUAUGUAAAGCUCUAUCAGCAGGAAAGAAAAUGACGGUACCUGACUAAGAAGCCCCGGCUAACUACGCGCCAGCAGCCGCGGUAAUACGUAGGGGGCAAGCGUUAUCCGGAUUUACUGGGUGUAAAGGGAGCGUAGACGGCUUUGCAAGUCUGAAGUGAAAGCCCGGGGCUCAACCCCGGAACUGCUUUGGAAACUGUAGAGCUAGAGUGCAGGAGAGGUAAGUGGAAUUCCUAGUGUAGCGGUGAAAUGCGUAGAUAUUAGGAGGAACACCAGUGGCGAAGGCGGCUUACUGGACUGUAACUGACGUUGAGGCUCGAAGGCGUGGGGAGCAAACAGGAUUAGAUACCCUGGUA
rnacentral:rRNA from 1 species